AUUGAACGCUGGCGGCAGGCCUAACACAUGCAAGUCGAACGAGUGGCGGACGGGUGAGUAAUGUCUGUGAAACUGCCCGAUGGAGGGGGAUAACUACUGGAAACGGUAGCUAAUACCGCAUACCAUCUGAUUUGCCCAGAUGGGAUUAGCUUGUAGGUGAGGUAACGGCUCACCUAGGCGACGAUCCCUAGCUGGUCUGAGAGGAUGACCAGCAACACGGGAACUGAGAAAAGGUCCAGAUGCCUACGGGAGGCAGCAGGGGGGAAGAGUGCAUAAUGGGCGAAAGCCUGAGGCAGCCAUGCCGCGUGUAGGAAGAAGGCCUUUGGGUUGUAAAGUACUUGAAGCGGGGAGGCGUUACCCGCAGAAGAAGCACCGGCUAACUCCGUGCCAGCAGCCGCGGUAAUUC
rnacentral:rRNA from 1 species